rnacentral:tRNA from 1 species
GGUUCCGUAGUGUAGUGGUUAGCACUCCAGACUUUGAAUCUGGCGACCUGGGUUCGAAUCCCGGCGGGACCU